rnacentral:rRNA from 1 species
AGCGGCGGACGGGUGAGUAACGCGUGGGAAUAUGCCCUUCUCUAAGGAAUAGCCUCGGGAAACUGAGAGUAAUACCUUAUACGCCCUUCGGGGGAAAGAUUUAUCGGAGAAGGAUUAGCCCGCGUUAGAUUAGGUAGUUGGUGGGGUAAUGGCCUACCAAGCCUACGAUCUAUAGCUGGUUUGAGAGGAUGAUCAGCCACACUGGGACUGAGACACGGCCCAGACUCCUACGGGAGGCAGCAGUAGGGAAUCUUAGACAAUGGGGGAAACCCUGAUCUAGCCAUGCCGCGUGUGUGAUGAAGGCCUUAGGGUCGUAAAGCACUUUCGCCAGAGAUGAUAAUGACAGUAUCUGGUAAAGAAACCCCGGCUAACUCCGUGCCAGCAGCCGCGGUAAUACGGAGGGGGUUAGCGUUGUUCGGAAUUACUGGGCGUAAAGCGCACGUAGGCGGAUUAGUAAGUUAGAGGUGAAAUCCCAGGGCUCAACCCUGGAACUGCCUUUAAUACUGCUAGUCUUGAGUUCGAGAGAGGUAAGUGGAAUUCCGAGUGUAGAGGUGAAAUUCGUAGAUAUUCGGAGGAACACCAGUGGCGAAGGCGGCUUACUGGCUCGAUACUGACGCUGAGGUGCGAAAGUGUGGGGAGCAAACAGGAUUAGAUACCCUGCUAGUCCACACCGA